GCCAGUGUGGUGCAAUGGUUUGAGCAUUGGACUACGACUCUGGAGACCAGGGUUCGAUUCCUACCUUGGCC
rnacentral:tRNA from 1 species